rnacentral:rRNA from 1 species
AGCAGCCGCGGUAAUUCCAGCUCCAAUAGCGUAUAUUAAAGUUGUUGCAGUUAAAAAGCUCGUAGUUGAACUUCGGGGUUCACCCAUUGGUCAGGCUUAAUUGUCUGCACUGGUGAGAUGAGUCUCUACCUUCUGAGGAACUUUCAUGCCAUUUAUUUGGUGUGAUUGGAAAUCAGGACUGUUACUUUGAAAAAUUAGAGUGUUUAAAGCAGGCUAACGUCUGAAUACAUUAGCAUGGAAUAAUGAAAUAGGACGGACUGAUUCUAUUUCGUUGGUUUCUAGGAUCACCGUAAUGAUUAAUAGGGAUAGUUGGGGCAUUAGUAUUCAAUUGUCAGAGGUGAAAUUCUUGGAUUUAUUGAA